GCUUGGCCCUAAACCUCAGUAGUUAGAUAACAAAACUACUCGCCAGAAUACUACGAGCUACAGCUUAAAACUCAAAGGACUUGACGGUGCUUUACACCCCCUAGAGGAGCCUGUUCCGUAAUCGAUAAACCCCGAUCCACCCCACCCUCUCUUGCUCAGCCUAUAUACCGCCAUCUUCAGCAAACCCUAAUGAAGGUCACAAAGUGAGCGCAAACGCCGUCACCGCGAGUACGUUAGGUCAAGGUGUAGCCUAUGAGAUGGUAAAAAUGGGCUACAUUUUCUACCUCAGAAAAUUCCACGAAAACCCUUAUGAAAUUUAAGGGCCCAAGGAGGAUUUAGCAGUAAAUUAAGAAUAGAGUGCUUAAUUGAACCAGGCCGUAAAGCGCGCACACACCGCCCGUCGUUCUU
rnacentral:rRNA from 1 species